CCUACGGGAGGCAGCAGUGAGGAAUAUUGGUCAAUGGCCGUAAGGCUGAACCAGCCAAGUAGCGUGAGGGAAGACUGCCCUAUGGGUUGUAAACCUCUUUUAUGCGGGGAUAAAGGUGUCCACGUGUGGCUGUUUGCAGGUACCGCAUGAAUAAGGACCGGCUAAGUCCGUGCCAGCAGCCGCGGUAAUACGGAAGGUCCGGGCGUUAUCCGGAUUUAUUGGGUUUAAAGGGAGCGUAGGUGGGUUGUUAAGUCAGUUGUGAAAGUUUGCGGCUCAACCGUAAAAUUGCAGUUGAAACUGGCAGUCUUGAGUACAGUAGAGGUGGGCGGAAUUCGUGGUGUAGCGGUGAAAUGCUUAGAUAUCACGAAGAACUCCGAUUGCGAAGGCAGCUCACUGGACUGCAACUGACACUGAUGCUCGAAAGUGUGGGUAUCAAACAGGAUUAGAUACCCUUGUAGUC
rnacentral:rRNA from 1 species